GACGAACGCUGGCGGCGUGCUUAACACAUGCAAGUCGAGCGGAAAGGCCCUUCGGGGUACUCGAGCGGCGAACGGGUGAGUAACACGUGAGUAACCUGCCCCAGACUUUGGGAUAACCCUCGGAAACGGGGGCUAAUACCGGAUACGACACAGCUUCGCAUGGGGUCUGUGUGGAAAGUUUUUCGGUUUGGGAUGGGCUCGCGGCCUAUCAGCUUGUUGGUGGGGUGAUGGCCUACCAAGGCGACGAAGGGUAGCCGGCCUGAGAGGGCGACCGGCCACACUGGGACUGAGACACGGCCCAGACUCCUACGGGAGGCAGCAGUGGGGAAUAUUGCACAAUGGGCGGAAGCCUGAUGCAGCGACGCCGCGUGAGGGAUGACGGCCUUCGGGUUGUAAACCUCUUUCAGCAGGGACGAAGCGUAAGUGACGGUACCUGCAGAAGAAGCGCCGGCCAACUACGUG
rnacentral:rRNA from 1 species